CGGAUGGCCGCCGGCAGCAAUGCUGGAGGAAAGUCCGGGCACCACAGGGCAGGAUGCUGGAUAACGUCCAGGCGCGGAAACGCGACAGACAGUGCAACAGAAAGCAAACCGCCAGGUUCGGGCGCAAGUCCGGGCAAGGUAAGGGUGAAAUGGCGAGGUAAGAGCUCACCGCGUUCUUGGCGACAGGGACGGCACGGUAAACCUCAUCCGGUGCAAGACCAAGCAGAAUUCCGCUCGCGCAAGCGAGCCUGGAGCGGCCCGCGACAGUUGGAAUUCGGGUAGGUCGCUUGAGGCGGUCGGUAACGAUUCGUCCAGAGAGAUGGUCAUCGCCCCGCAAGGGGUACAGAACCCGGCUUAUAAC
rnacentral:RNase_P_RNA from 1 species